AUUUAAGGUGUUUUUUUUUUUUUAAAUCUCAUUAUGAUGUAAAUUUGAGCACGGCACAGUGUACUUUUAAUAAGCAAGAAAUAAUUUAAAGAAAAGACAUUUAAAAAUGAACAUUUAGAUAACAAUUUCAAUGUAUUGUUCAUACUAUUAAAUAUGUCUUAUGAGAAUAGUUAUAAGUCAGCUACGGGUGCUACCAAGCUGUCUUUACAUGAAACAUUGCUAUUGGUUAAGAGUAUCUGUUUAGACGAGUGUAUACUAUCAAUUAAGCUACUAAACAUCAAGUAAGUAAUUUGCAAGCCUAUUUGAGCAGACUAUUGAGAUGUUUCAUUGCCUCCCUUAGGUACACACACACAGACACGUUUGCUUAAAGUACAGAUUAAUUGGUCUUAAGAAUGCGUGAGUGUAUGUGUACUUCGAAAUGUAGUCAAUGUAAAUGCAUUAACGGGACCAUUUCAGUGGCUCAAGAAGAAGCAAUGAAGACCAUUUGGGAGAGGGGGGGUGAGGGAAUAAACUAAGCAUUGUGUAAGGAAAAUAAGUUUCUGUCGAAAAAUCUAGAUUACCCUCACAGUCACAUUCCAUUCUCA